rnacentral:rRNA from 1 species
UGGGGAAUAUUGCACAAUGGGCGCAAGCCUGAUGCAGCCAUGCCGCGUGUAUGAAGAAGGCCUUCGGGUUGUAAAGUACUUUCAGCGGGGAGGAAGGGAGUAAAGUUAAUACCUUUGCUCAUUGACGUUACCCGCAGAAGAAGCACCGGCUAACUCCGUGCCAGCAGCCGCGGUAAUACGGAGGGUGCAAGCGUUAAUCGGAAUUACUGGGCGUAAAGCGCACGCAGGCGGUUUGUUAAGUCAGAUGUGAAAUCCCCGGGCUCAACCUGGGAACUGCAUCUGAUACUGGCAAGCUUGAGUCUCGUAGAGGGGGGUAGAAUUCCAGGUGUAGCGGUGAAAUGCGUAGAGAUCUGGAAGAAUACCGGUGGCGAAGGCGGCCCCCUGGACAAAGACUGACGCUCAGGUGCGAAAGCGUGGGGAGCAAACAGG